UCCCCGUUUUCCGGGGCAGUCCUUGUAGAGUUCCCGGCAUGACCCGAUGGCAACUACAGGCAAGGGUUGCGCUCGUUGCGGGACUUAACCCAACAUCUCACGACACGAGCUGACGACAGCCAUGCAGCACCUCUACCGAUGUCCCUUGCGGGAGGGCCCCAUCUCUGGGGAUUUCAUCGGCGGUUCAAACCCAGGUAAGGUUCUUCGCGUUGCGUCGAAUUAAACCACAUGCUCCGCUGCUUGUGCGGGUCCUCGUCAAUUCCUUUGAGUUUUAACCUUGCGGCCGUACUCCCCAGGCGGUCAACUUAAUGCGUUAGCUGCGCCACUAAGAGCUCAAGGCUCCCAACGGCUAGUUGACAUCGUUUACGGCGUGGACUAC
rnacentral:misc_RNA from 1 species